ensembl:lncRNA
GCCACUGACUAGAAUGACUACAAUUAAAUACAAUACCAAAUGCUGAAGAUGUUCGACAACUGGAAUAUUUCUACAUAGCUGAUGCAAAAACUGAGCUGUAGAGAGGAUAUGUUGCUUGCCUACAGCCACAAGACUUUCUUACAAGCAGCAGACCUGUCUCCUGCGUACUUGUUUAUUGGUUCCUUUACAUACUCUGCAUACUGUUGUUUGCACCAUUCCUCCCAAUAUUUCCAAUACAAGUAUAACGCAUCGGAGGCCAGGAAAAAUCAGUAUUUGGAUGAAGUCACACAACUCUGCUGCACAGCCAGGCACAGAAUCCAUGGCUUUUGAUGCCCUAUUGAUUAUUCUUUUCACCACACCUGCUUUAUUCCUGAUAAGAAAUUUCAUCCCAGAGAAAUGUUCAUGGCCAUCAUAAAACUGGUGAAAGAGAAAACUGGCUAGUGGGGUAGAUAUUUUCUUGAAAAUUUUCUUGAAGUGGUAUAUCUGCCUACUCUAACCAACACACACACGCACGCACGCAUGUGUGCACACACUAACAUAAGUGAUUAUGAGAUCUUGAAGAUAAAGUAAUCUCUUAUUUGUGAUCCCAGAGGAGAAACCUCAUUUUAUGCACAUAAUUAAGAUAAACUUAAAUGUUCUAGGCACAUUUUAGGGUCUCUAAAGCAUCUAGGGUACAUGUUUUACAUUCUUAGCUUGUAUUUGUACUGCAUAUUUUUAUCAUGUCUAUUUAGUAUAGGGAUGAUGACUAUGAGGACAGCAGAUAUGAAUUUAGUUUCAGACCAUACUGCAUUAAAAUGUCUGCUUAAGUUUUAUUCCAUAUGCCACUUUGGGAAACUCAAUAUUGUAACAUUGAGCACUCAAUUAUUUGUCCUUGGUUCUCAACGAUUAUACAUAGGGUGGAAUAGGUGCUGUCCGUCGAUGUAUUUAUCCACAUGCUCCUAUGUCUCACAUUUAUGUGCAUAACAGCAUGAGUUUAAACAUAUAGCAUUUUCCUUCUUUUCCUAAGAGGUAUGUAUCCAGCAGUUUAGAAGUGCCCAGGAAUUCUACCCACCAACACUCUAAUUCCACAUUAAAAAUUGCCCCACAACCAGUGAUUAAUAAAUGGCCUUGUGCUAUAAAUGAUCAAUCCCCUCACCCUUCAGUUGGAACAGUUCUGGGGCACACAGUCACAUUGAUUUGUGGGAUUCCUCAACAGAUUUAUGUUCUACUUGCCAAUAGUGGCAACUUGUAUGAUGACAUGUGCUCUAUUGGUUUUGUUUCCCUUUCUGAGUCAUUUUUCCAGUCUCCUACCAGAGUUUCCUACACUAAGCUCCA